UACGUAGGGGGCAAGCGUUGUCCGGAUUUAUUGGGCGUAAAGCGCUCGCAGGCGGUUUGAUGCGUCGUGUGUGAAAGCCCCCGGCUCAACUGGGGAGGGUCAUGCGAUACGGUCAGACUGGAGGCCAGUAGGGGGAGUGCGGAAUUCCGGGUGUAGUGGUGGAAUGCGUAGAGAUCCGGAGGAACACCAGUGGCGAAGGCGGCUCACUGGACGACUGUUGACGCUGAGGUGCGAAAGCGUGGGGAGCAAACAGGG
rnacentral:rRNA from 1 species